rnacentral:rRNA from 1 species
UACGUAGGGGGCGAGCGUUGUCCGGAUUUAUUGGGCGUAAAGAGCGUGUAGGCGGUUCGGUAAGUCUGUCGUGAAAUCCUGAGGCUCAACCUCGGGCGUGCGAUGGAUACUGCCGGGCUAGAGGGUGGUAGAGGCGAGUGGAAUUCCCGGUGUAGCGGUGAAAUGCGCAGAUAUCAGGAAGAACACCUAUGGCGAAGGCAGCACUCUGGGACGGUACUGACGCUGAGACGCGAAAGCGUGGGGAGCGAACAGG